UACAGAGGGUGCGAGCGUUGUCCGGAAUCACUGGGCGUAAAGGGCGCGUAGGUGGUGGCUUAAGCGUGCGGUGAAAGCUCGGAGCUCAACUCCGAGUCGGCCGUGCGAACUGGGCUCACUGGAGCAUAGUAGAGGCAGGUGGAAUUCCGGGUGUAGCGGUGGAAUGCGUAGAGAUCCGGAAGAACACCAGUGGCGAAGGCGGCUAUCUGGACGGUUUCUGACGCUAAGACGCGAAAGCGUGGGGAGCAAACAGG
rnacentral:rRNA from 1 species